GACGAACGCUGGCGGCGUGCUUAACACAUGCAAGUCGAACGGAAAGGCCUGCAGCUUGCUGCGGGUACUCGAGUGGCGAACGGGUGAGUAACACGUGGGUGAUCUGCCUUGCACUUCGGGAUAAGCUUGGGAAACUGGGUCUAAUACCGGAUAGGACAGCUGUUUAGUGUCAGUUGUGGAAAGUUUUUUCGGUGCAAGAUGAGCUCGCGGCCUAUCAGCUUGUUGGUGGGGUAAUGGCCUACCAAGGCGUCGACGGGUAGCCGGCCUGAGAGGGUGUACGGCCACAUUGGGACUGAGAUACGGCCCAGACUCCUACGGGAGGCAGCAGUGGGGAAUAUUGCACAAUGGGCGGAAGCCUGAUGCAGCGACGCCGCGUGGGGGAUGAAGGCCUUCGGGUUGUAAACUCCUUUCGACAGGGACGAAGCUUUUGUGACGGUACCUGUAUAAGAAGCACCGGCUAACUACGUGCCAGCAGCCGCGGUAAUACGUAGGGUGCGAGCGUUAUCCGGAAUUAUUGGGCGUAAAGCGCGCGUAGGCGGUUUUUUAAGUCUGAUGUGAAAGCCCACGGCUCAACCGUGGAGGGUCAUUGGAAACUGGAAAACUUGAGUGCAGAAGAGGAAAGUGGAAUUCCAUGUGUAGCGGUGAAAUGCGUAGAGAUAUGGAGGAACACCAGUGGCGAAGGCGACUUUCUGGUCUGUAACUGACGCUGAUGUGCGAAAGCGUGGGGAUCAAACAGGAUUAGAUACCCUGGUAGUCCACGCCGUAAACGAUGAGUGCUAAGUGUUAGGGGGUUUCCGCCCCUUAGUGCUGCAGCUAACGCAUUAAGCACUCCGCCUGGGGAGUACGACCGCAAGGUUGAAACUCAAAGGAAUUGGCGGGGACCCGCACAAGCAGUGGAGUAUGUGGUUUAAUUCGAGGCUACGCGAAGAACCUUACCAAGGCUUGACAUCUUCUGACAGCUCUAGAGAUAGAGCCUUCCUACGGGACAGAAUGACAGGUGGUGCAUGGCUGUCGUCAGCUCGUGUCGUGAGAUGUUCGGUUAAGUCCGGCAACGAGCGCAACCCCUACGGUAUAUUGCCAUCAUUCAGUUGGGCACUUUUACUGGACUGCCGUUAACAAAACGGAGGAAGGUGGGGACGACGUCAAGUCAUCAUGCCCCUUAUGUCUUGGGCUACACACGUACUACAAUGGUAAUGACAGAGGGCAGCGACAUAGCGACAUGAAGCGAAUCCCAAAACGUUAUCUCAGUUCGGAUUGGAGGCUGCAACUCGCCUCCAUGAAGCCGGAAUUGCUAGUAAUGGCAGGUCAGCAUACUGCCGUGAAUACGUUCUCGGGUCU
rnacentral:rRNA from 1 species